rnacentral:rRNA from 1 species
GUGGGGAAUAUUGGACAAUGGGCGCAAGCCUGAUCCAGCCAUGCCGCGUGAGUGAUGAAGGUCUUCGGAUUGUAAAACUCUUUCGCCGGGGAAGAUAAUGACGGUACCCGGAGAAGAAGCUCCGGCUAACUUCGUGCCAGCAGCCGCGGUAAUACGAAGGGAGCUAGCGUUGUUCGGAAUUACUGGGCGUAAAGCGCACGUAGGCGGAUUUUUAAGUCAGGGGUGAAAUCCCAAGGCUCAACCUUGGAACUGCCUUUGAUACUGGAAGUCUCGAGAUCGGGAGAGGUGAGUGGAAUUCCUAGUGUAGAGGUGAAAUUCGUAGAUAUUAGGAAGAACACCAGUGGCGAAGGCGGCUCACUGGCCCGAUACUGACGCUGAGGUGCGAAAGCGUGGGGAGCAAACAGGAUUAGAUACCCGAGUAGUCC